GCCCUUGUAGCACAAUGGUUGAGCUCUUGGCUGCUAACCAAAAAGUUGGUGGUUCAAACCUACCUGUGGCU
rnacentral:tRNA from 1 species